CCUACGGGUGGCAGCAGUGAGGAAUAUUGGUCAAUGGACGCAAGUCUGAACCAGCCAUGCCGCGUGCAGGAAGACGGCUCUAUGAGUUGUAAACUGCUUUUGUACGAGGGUAAACGCAGAUACGCGUAUCUGUCUGAAAGUAUCGUACGAAUAAGGAUAGGCUAACUCCAUGCCAGCAGACGCGGUAAUACGGAGGAUUCGAGCGUUAUCCGGAUUUAUUGGGUUUAAAGGGUGGGUAGGCGGUCGGAUAAGUUAGAGGUGAAAUCCCGAGGCUCAACGUCGGAAUUGCCUCUGAUACUGUUCGGCUAGAGAGUAGUUGCGGUAGGCGGAAUGGAAGGUGUAGCGGUGAAAUGCGUAGAGAUCAGACAGAACACCGAUUGCGAAGGCAGCUUACCAAGCCACUUCUGACGUUGAGGCACGAAAGCGUGGGGAGCAAACAGGAUUAGAUACCCGGGUAGUC
rnacentral:rRNA from 1 species